UACAGUCGGAAAAAAAACAGAAACACACACGGGCUCUCCUCUCUCUCCCUCGCCUCCCGAUCCCAACCGCCAGGAGGCGCCCCACCCCGCGCGACCUCGAUCCGGUGCCGCGCCGAUCUGGCGGCGGGUGCUGCGUCUUGCUCCGGUGGCGACGGGAGAAGGAGAGAUAGGGCGUGAGGGAGAGAAGAAAGAUAGGAAGAAAGGAGAAGGAGAAGGGGCACAAGGUGAGGGAGGCGGUCGCCGGCGGUGGUGGUUCCGGUGACCGGCCGGCGGGCAGGGAGACGAGCUCCUGUUGAGGCGACGGAGCUCGGUGCGGGAUGGUUCCUCCGGAUCGAGCCUUGGCUCUCCCCAGGUGUGCGGUUGCGGGCUUGGAUCGGGUUGAUCCUUCUCCCCUGCCCUCCCCCUCCAUGGCCAACAGCACAAGAUCUGGUCUGAACGAUAACUGGACCGAGCUCCCCGAUGACCCUGCUAGAGCUGCGUGAGGAUGAGGAGACCAUCACCUGCUCUAGCUAUUAAAUCAAUUAGAAGAGAUGGCUAUUGAUGAGGCCGAGCUUGAGCCUCUAGAAUUUGCUGAGAAAAUGCACACUCAACAGGAAAUUACAACAACAGUUGCGCAGGCAGUUGGAGAGUGCUGAUUUUGAUACAAGUGUAUCAAUCUUCACUCCGGAGCAGAUCCAAAGGAUUGUUGAGAAAUGCUCCAGUUGACAUAUUUGAAGAGAUGAGAGAUUUACAUUGCAUCCAGUCUUCUCCCUCUACUAUAGCCGAUGGUUGUAUUCCACCCAUACACGAAGCAUAUAAUUGCCGUCUAGCUUUACUUCAUGUAAUUUGCACUUUGCUCAGUGAAAGACUAUAAGUGUACUAAUUACAUUGGCAGUGGCACCUGUUGGAACUGUCCACCUGGCUCUGUCGAUUACCACCCAAGCUGCUGGCCUCCUUGCGGUGGUGGUCUUCACCCUCUUUCAUCACCAUGAAGCAGAUCAUCGUUGUGACGUUGUCCAGCACUGGCGAGAAGGGUGGCCCGCAUCGAGACGGCCAAGGUUGGGUGGUCUGCAGGUCAGGCUCGUUGGAAUGGUGACUGGCAAGAUGGAGAGGAAUACAGACGUGUCCUUCACCCUCGACAAUGACACUGGCUGCAUCAAUUUUUCAUCAGAUGGUAUAAUGGACUAGACUGGUUAAUGUUCUUUUAGCCAGCGUCAACAAAGAGAAGAGAGGCCGUGUGAUGGUUACAUUGUGGAGAGCCUGCCAUCUAUGAAAUGACAUCAUCCAUGGGCGAUGCUAAAAGUUCUAUUCAAAGCUGGGUUGAGUUCUUGGUUAAUUAUGUGAAGAUCAUUAAUGGAGACUACAAAAGGAUGAUCUCAAGAAAUCGUUGCAGACAUAUUUCUGCAAUCUGUAAUUCCUUCGCUAAACAUAGCAAUUGUGUAGCUCAUGAUCUUGCUUCCCUUGCUAGAGUGUCAGAUACUUCUGAAACCUGGGUGGGCACUGGGCAGUAUGGUGUGUAUGCAAAUGACUUUGUUAA